AACGAAAGAGGGGGGGAUGAGUAACACAUGCAAGUCGAACGAGACCUUCGGGUCUAGUGGCGCACGGGUGCGUAACGCGUGGGAACCUGCCCUUAGGUUCGGAAUAACUCCCCGAAAGGGGUGCUAAUACCGGAUAAUGUCUUCGGACCAAAGAUUUAUCGCCUUUGGAUGGGCCCGCGUUGGAUUAGCUAGUUGGUAGGGUAAAAGCCUACCAAGGCGACGAUCCAUAGCUGGUCUGAGAGGAUGAUCAGCCACACUGGGACUGAGACACGGCCCAGACUCCUACGGGAGGCAGCAGUGGGGAAUAUUGGACAAUGGGCGAAAGCCUGAUCCAGCAAUGCCGCGUGAGUGAUGAAGGCCUUAGGGUUGUAAAGCUCUUUUACCCGGGAUGAUAAUGACAGUACCGGGAGAAUAAGCUCCGGCUAACUCCGUG
rnacentral:rRNA from 1 species